UGAUUCUUUCUUCUGCCAUCUCAAAUAUAUUGUGGAUUCCUUUACUAUUACAUCUGAGCUGAGGUGGGUUUUUUUGUGAAAUGUUUGUUUCUCUACUUUCAAUCAUCAAAGAAUAUGAAGCAUCAAGUUGCUACUUAUCACCCACAGGGAUUAGUAGACCCAUUCCGCUCAAUUUAUUCUCUCCUUGGAAUUUAAUUUAGAAGCAUCGAUAUACUCUUAAAUGUAUAAGAAUUUAUAUCACUCAUAAUUAAAUAUCACUGAAAAAUUUGUUUUUCAAUGUAGUUAAUAUUUGUCAUUCAAAGAUUGUUCCUUUAUAUAUUAGAGAAUCAGGAAUAAAAGUAGUCUACUCAACUCUCCCUGGUUGGUAGUGGGUGAACAAGAGGAGAAAGAAAAUUGUUCAUUCUCAAUGGUAUCAUAUAGUGAAAAUAAUUCUGUUUCCUCAAUAAAGGAUCAUGAUGGUACACAGGUCUAUAUACAUGACUUUAGUCUCAGUCAUGCCAAAAAGAUUUUAUCCAGGUAGAACAAAGAAGGUGAUUUUUAUAAUAAUCUUAUAAUUUUAUUAAUUGCAAGCUUCUACUUUCAUGAUUAUCGCUUAAGAAGUGACUUGCUCGUGCUCCUUGUUUAGUGGAUAUAUUGUUUCCUAAAUUUAACUAGCAAAUAAUUCUCUCUAUCUACAACUUCUCCCAGAAUGCUAAAGAAAGACUAAAAAGGAUGAAUCUUAAAUGCAUGUAUUUAUAGGCAAAAUAAUGAUGACAUGAAGUUUAAAUCGGUUUUCCAAUGGAGGCAAUAAAUGUAUGUUCAGAGUCUUGCCCUCAAGGUUAGUAGCAUACCUCUAUGUCUGGCUGACCAGAGUUUUGGACACAUCUUGUGACCAUGGGACAAAACUACUUUAUCUAGUUGUGGAAUAAAUUCAUUAGCAAUAUGCAUUUAUAAGUUGCACAGUUCAUGUACUUGAUAGUAACAGAUUGGGCUGAUUAUAAAUGAAUCAUUCGGUUAUGCCUUACUGCUUCCAGGCAGUCCCCAAACAUGCUUGGUACUUCUGCUCUCAUAGCUCCCUAGAAUAUACUCCUUUUCUUUCUCCUUUCUUCCCUAUGCUUCCAUCUAUACCUCUCUCCUAGCCAAGUAAACUUUUUUCUUUUUAUUAAAGUAUAGUUGAUUUACAGUGUUGUGUUAAUUCCUGCUCCAAGUAAACUUUUUUUUUUUUUUUUUUUUGUCAUUUUUGGCUGCCUCAUGUCAUAUGGAGUUCCCGGGCCAGGGAUGAGAUCCAAGCCACAGUCACGACUUAAGCCUCAGCUGUGGCAGCACUGUUCCUUACCCGGGCCAGGGAUGGAAUCUGAGUCCCAGUGCUCCCAGGACGCCCCAACCACCUUGCACCACAGCGGAAACUCCUCCAGGUAAACUUCUAACUCAUCUUUGUAGUUUUGAAAUAUCUGUAGAUUCUUUUCUAGUCGUCUCACCUUUCCCCAGCCAUUUCCACUCUUCAUUCUAAAGAACAUUAAUUUUUCUUUCCACAUACUCAGCAAUUGUGUUGUCACCAGUAGUAUUUGUAUUUGUGGGCUCCUUAAAGGAGAGAUUAUUAUGUGUUUAACAUGUAGCAGACACUUAAGAGCUGUUUAUUGAAUGAAGGAUUAUAUGAAUACUUAUAAUUUCAUCAUUUUCAUUUUUGUUACAUUUAAAUAAAUGUUUGUUUCAUACUUAGAUAAAUUCUGAAAGACCUAUAGAUAGAUUUAGGUAGCCUAAAAGGAGGCAAAAGAUCUGAAAUUUUACUCUGAAAAUUGUAAUACACUGAUAAAAGAAAUCAAAGACUACACAAACAAGUGGAAAGAUAUACUGUGUUCUUGGAUUAGAAGGAUCAAUAUUGUUAAAAUGACCAUCUACCCAAGGCAAUCUAGCAAUUCAGUGUAAUCCUAUCAGAUUACCAAUGGCAUUUUCAUAGAACUAGAACAAAUGGUUUUUAAUUUGUAUAUAAAAUAAAAAAGGCUCUGAACAGCCAAAACAAUCUUGAGAAAGAAAAGCAGAACUUGAAUAAUCACACUCCCUGACUUCAGACUAUACUACAAAGCUACAGUAAUCAAAACAGUAUGAUGUUGGCAGAAAAACAGAAAUAUAGAUCAAUGAAACAAAAUAGAUUACCCAGAAAUAAACCCAUGCACCUGUGGUCAAUUAAUCUAUAACAAAGGAGGCAAGAAUAUACAAUGGAGAAAAGACAGUCUCCUCAAUAAGAGGUGCUAAGAAAACUGGACAGCUACAUGUAAAAGAAUGAAAUUAGAACAUUCUCAACAUCACAUACAAAAAUAAACUCAAAAUUGGAGUUCCCAUUGUGGUGCAAUGAAAACAAAUCCCACUAGUAACCAUGAGGUUGCAGGUUUGAUCCCUGGCCUCACUCAAUGGGUUAAGGAUCUGGCAUUGCCACGAGCUCUGAUGUAGGUUGCAGACAUGGCUCGGAUCCCACAUUGCUGUGGCUGUGGCAUAGGCUGGUGGAUGUAGCUCCAAUGUGACCCCUACCCUGGGAACCUCCUUAUGCUGCAGGUGUGGCU
rnacentral:lncRNA from 1 species